rnacentral:lncRNA from 1 species
GAGAUGGAGAAAACACCAAAAUACAACCCAAUACCACUUUUUUUGUUUUGUUUUUGUUGUUGUUGUUGUUGUUGUUGUUUUAGAUUAAGAAUUAAGUCCACAUCACAAGAAAUCUGGGCAGGUUCUUCUCGGUACCACCCUUGUAUUUGAUCAUUUGUGUCUUUCUGGGACCAGGGCACUUCAUUUAAUAUAAUCUUUCCAGUUCUGUCCAUUUUCCUGCAAAUUUCAUGAUUUUGUUUUUGUUAAUGGCUGACUAAAAUUCCACUGUGUAUAUUCAUUCUGUAUCCAUUCUUCUGUUGAUGGACAUCUAUGCUGACUUCAUUCUCUUGUAGCACUGAAUAGUACAUCAGUAAACAUGAAUGUGCAGGUCUCUCUGUGGUAGGAUACAGAGUACUUUGGGUAUAUGCGCAGUAUUAAUAUAACUUAGUUAUAUAAUCAUUCUAUUUUUAAUUCUUUGAGAAGCUUCCCAACUGAUUUCCAUUGUGGGUACACUAGCUUACACUGCCCCCAAUAACAGAUCAGCAGUGCACAGAACACUUCCUUUUCUUUCCUUAUGCAGGAAAAUGAAUCCAGGGCCUUGCUUAGGCUAGGCAGGUGUUCUACCGCUGUACUACACUACAGCCCAUAAGAUAGACUUUGGACCAAAUUGAUUUAUAAUCAGACCAUUCUUCUCAUCAUUGCCUAUUGUUUACUCAAGGUCAUAUUAGCAACAUAUUCCACAGUGGUAAUAAAUUAAGCUGGGUGUGAGGGCACACAGCUGUAACCUAGCACUCUCCAGAUGCAGGCAUGGGAAUCACCUCAAGGUCGUCCUCCAUCACAUGAGACAACAACAAAGACCAAAAUGAAAAAAUAGAGAAUGAGCAGCAACUGAGAGAUUAGAUUGAAGAUCACCCCUUCUUUGUAUUUCCCAAUCACUCUGGUUUUCUGGCAAUCUGAGUUUUGUGCAUUAGCCAUACAUGACUUUUUAGCUAGUGUGGGUGUUACAGUUGUCUGGUUCCAUGAUGUCAGUUGUGUUUGUUAAAGGGAUGAUAGGGCUCAAUAUACCUUUAUGCCAGUAGUCAUCAUUUUAACCAUCAGAAGUGCUCUAUUUACAGCACCUGAUGUGUCUCUUUUAAAGAAAGGGGAAUAUGCUGUUGACCUGUUCUUUCCUCGCCUCAUAACAACCAACAUUUGUUCUCUUACAGAGCAUGGAAAGUCUCAGUUCCAUGCAAUCUCAAGAAACACUGGAACCUGAAGCUGCUGAACCGUUAUCUUCUGAGAGGUAAUUUGAGAAUUUUCUCCUCACUCUAUUUUUCAAGGGCAUGAAAGAUUUCCUUAACUAAAUGCAGUGUGAGUUAUAGGAACUAAAACAAAUAGGGGAAAGAAAGGAUUGUGUAUAGCCAGAAGUAUUUAUUGUAAGGAGAGUAUUUGGGGUACAGACUCUAUUACUAUGGCAAAUAAUUAUAUCCACAUGUGGUUUUCUUAUGUUUUUUACAUGCAUUCAUUUUGAUAUAAUAUUUUUACUAUUUGAAAAUUUUAUAAAAUCUAUUUUGAUCAUAUUCAACCUCUCUCCUCCAACUUCUCCAGAUCCACCCUACUUCCUACCCAUCCAACUUCAUGUUCACCCUUUUAAAAGGGACAUACAAACCCAAGUGUGUUGUCUAAAUAGUCUUGGGUGUGGAAACUACCAUGGAGUGUGGAUCACAUCCUUAAAUAAAGAUGACUCUUCUCCUACCAACUAUUAAAUGCCAAAAGCUCCUCAACUAGUGUUGGGACUCAUGCCCCAAACCUCUCAAAGCUGGGAUUUUAUCUGGCUUGAGUGUGUGCAGAUCACAGCUGCUAUCAGUCCACAUGUGUUGCUAUACCUAAUAUAUUAGUGAAUUUCCUGGGUUCUUUACUACAUUUUUAAUUUUCUGUUCUAUUUUUUUAAUUUUAUAAGAAUUGGAAAUUGGAAAUGUAAAUGAGGAAAAUACCUAAUAAAAAUAUUAAAAAAAAAAGAAUUUGAUUCAGAGAUACUCUGACCAAAUCUUAAAAUAAAUAAAAUUAUAAUAUGAAUGGAUAAAAGAGAUUAUAAAAUAGAUGGAUGAGUUAUGUAUUUGUUUUUGUUGUUGAUAGC